AGCAGCCGCGGUAAUUCCAGCUCCAAUAGCGUAUAUUAAAGUUGCUGCAGUUAAAAAGCUCGUAGUUGAAUUUCGGGACUAAUAUGUCGGUCGUGCCUCGGUACGUACUGGUUUAUUGGUUUCUCCUUUCUGAAGAACCAUGAUGUCAUUUAUUUGGUGUCGUGGGGAAUCAGGACUGUUACUUUGAAAAAUUAGAGUGUUUAAAGCAGGCUCACGCUUGAAUACAUUAGCAUGGAAUAAUGAAAUAGGACGUUUGAUUCUAUUUUGUUGGUUUCUAGGAUCGACGUAAUGAUUAAUAGGGAUAGUUGGGGGCAUUAGUAUUCAAUUGUCAGAGGUGAAAUUCUUGGAUUUAUUGAAGACUAACUACUGCGAAAGCAUUUGCCAAGGAUGUUUUCAUUAAUCAAGAACGAAAGUUAGGGGAUCGAAGACGAUCAGAUACCGUCGUAGUCUUAACCAUAAACUAUGCCGACUAGGGAUCGGAUGAUGUUAAUUUUUUAAUGACUCAUUCGGCGCCUUACGG
rnacentral:sRNA from 1 species